rnacentral:rRNA from 1 species
AGCGAACGCUGGCGGCAUGCCUAACACGUGCAAGUCGAACGCACCGCAAGGUGAGUGGCGCACGGGUGAGUAACGCGUGGGAACCUGCCCUGGAGUGGGGGAUAACCCGGCGAAAGCCGGGCUAAUACCGCAUACGUCCUGAGGGAGAAAGAUUUAUCGCUCUAGGAGGGGCCCGCGUCGGAUUAGCUAGUUGGUGAGGU